GAUGAACGCUGGCGGCGUGCCUAAUACAUGCAAGUCGAGCGAACGGACGAGAAGCUUGCUUUUCUGAUGUUAGCGGCGGACGGGUGAGUAACACGUGGAUAACCUACCUAUAAGACUGGGAUAACUUCGGGAAACCGGAGCUAAUACCGGAUAAUAUUUUGAACCGCAUGGUUCAAAAGUGAAAGACGGUCUUGCUGUCACUUAUAGAUGGAUCCGCGCUGCAUUAGCUAGUUGGUAAGGUAACGGCUUACCAAGGCAACGAUGCAUAGCCGACCUGAGAGGGUGAUCGGCCACACUGGAACUGAGACACGGUCCAGACUCCUACGGGAGGCAGCAGUAGGGAAUCUUCCGCAAUGGGCGAAAGCCUCACGGAGCAACGCCGCGUGAGUGAUGAAGGUCUUCGGAUCGUAAAACUCUGUUAUUAGGGAAGAACAUAUGUGUAAGUAACUGUGCACAUCUUGACGGUACCUAAUCGGAAAGCCACGGCUAACUACGUG
rnacentral:rRNA from 1 species